GUAAACGNUGGGAACUAGUUGUGGGGACCAUUCCACGGUUUCCGUGACGCAGCUAACGCAUUAAGUUCCCCGCCUGGGGAGUACGGCCGCAAGGCUAAAACUCAAAGGAAUUGACGGGGACCCGCACAAGCGGCGGAGCAUGCGGAUUAAUUCGAUGCAACGCGAAGAACCUUACCAAGGCUUGACAUAUACGAGAACGGGCCAGAAAUGGUCAACUCUUUGGACACUCGUAAACAGGUGGUGCAUGGUUGUCGUCAGCUCGUGUCGUGAGAUGUUGGGUUAAGUCCCGCAACGAGCGCAACCCUCGUUCUAUGUUGCCAGCACGUAAUGGUGGGAACUCAUGGGAUACUGCCGGGGUCAACUCGGAGGAAGGUGGGGAUGACGUCAAAUCAUCAUGCCCCUUAUGUCUUGGGCUUCACGCAUGCUACAAUGGCCGGUACAAAGGGCUGCGAUACCGUGAGGUGGAGCGAAUCCCAAAAAGCCGGUCCCAGUUCGGAUUGAGGUCUGCAACUCGACCUCAUGAAGUCGGAGUCGCUAGUAAUCGCAGAUCAGCAACGCUGCGGUGAAUACGUUCCCGGGUCUUGUACNACACCGCCCGUCAAGUCAUGAAAGUCGGUAACACCUGAAGCCGGUGGCCUAACCCUUGUGGA
rnacentral:rRNA from 1 species